UAACACUAUAGGAAGCGGCCAGUGCUGGUACAUUUGUUAAAAUUGCGGCUGCUAAAGAACAAAGAAACCACUAAAAAGAAUUGAGCUACAGAUAUUGCUUUCCAUCAGUACAGUCUGAUUGAAGGAAUCGACGGCAUAAGGGGCGCUCUCAUACAAAUUCCACAGCAAAUUGAUAGCCUGCAAAAAUAUGUCCGAACGAUUAUGACAUAAACGUGUUACAUCUUUCUCAAAACUAAGAAAUACUAUAAACUUUUGAGUUCAUGUUAAGAACAAUUUAACUACCAUAUUCAAGUCUGCUGCCCGGAUGAGGUAAGCCGUCAUUAUCUAAAUGUUCGCGAAGCUCUGGCAUUUGCGGAUUACGAGCAAAAUAGCAAGUUCCACUCAAUUCAAAACAUUUUGAUAUAUAGAUGCUACCGUGAGGAUGACAUACGGUAUACCAACGCUUCGGAAAAUGAUCAGCAAGUUGCCGUCAAAUGGGCAAACGAGCAUUGGAUUUAAAUUGCUUUUCGUAUAUGCAUGAUAUGAUUUCAAACCCGAUAUUUAAGAUAUAGAAACGUAGAAUCAGUUUUGGCU